rnacentral:rRNA from 1 species
GACGAACGCUGGCGGCGUGCUUAACACAUGCAAGUCGAACGAAGAGCGAUGGACGCUUGCUUCUAUCAGUCUUAGGGGCGAACGUGUGAGUAACGCGUAAUCAACCUGCCCUUCAGAGGGGGACAACAGUUGGAAACGACUGCUAAUACCGCAUACGAUCUAAUCGCGGCAUCGAGGAGAGAUGAAAGGUGGCCGCUACAGGUAAGCUAUCACUGAAGGAGGGGAGUGCGUCUGGUUAGGUAGUUGGAUGGGUAAAGGCCCAACCAGGCGAAGAGGAAUAGCCGGGUCGAGAGGGUGGACCGCCAACUUGGGAACGGGAACAGGCCCAGACUCCUAAGGGAGGCAGCAGGGGGGAAACUUCCGCCAUGGAGGAAAGUCUGACGGAGCCACGCCGCGGGGGGGAUAGAGGCCCUCGGGUUGUAAAGCUCCGUUAAUCGGGAAGAAAGGACUUCUUGCGAAUAGGGAGACGGAUUGACGGUACCGGAAGAGAAAGCCACGGCUAACUACGUG